AACCUGCCCAGAAGCGGGGGAUAACACCUGGAAACAGAUGCUAAUACCGCAUAACAACUUGGACCGCAUGGUCCGAGUUUGAAAGAUGGCUUCGGCUAUCACUUUUGGAUGGUCCCGCGGCGUAUUAGCUAGAUGGUGGGGUAACGGCUCACCAUGGCAAUGAUACGUAGCCGACCUGAGAGGGUAAUCGGCCACAUUGGGACUGAGACACGGCCCAAACUCCUACGGGAGGCAGCAGUAGGGAAUCUUCCACAAUGGACGAAAGUCUGAUGGAGCAACGCCGCGUGAGUGAAGAAGGGUUUCGGCUCGUAAAACUCUGUUGUUAAAGAAGAACAUAUCUGAGAGUAACUGUUCAGGUAUUGACGGUAUUUAACCAGAAAGCCACGGCUAACUACGUGCCAGCAGCCGCGGUAAUACGUAGGUGGCAAGCGUUGUCCGGAUUUAUUGGGCGUAAAGCGAGCGCAGGCGGUUUUUUAAGUCUGA
rnacentral:rRNA from 1 species